UACGUAGGGUGCAAGCGUUGUCCGGAAUUAUUGGGCGUAAAGAGCUCGUAGGCGGUCUGUCGCGUCGGCUGUGAAAACUCGGGGCUCAACCCCGAGCCUGCAGUCGAUACGGGCAGACUAGAGUGCUGUAGGGGAGACUGGAAUUCCUGGUGUAGCGGUGAAAUGCGCAGAUAUCAGGAAGAACACCCGUGGCGAAGGCGGCUCGUCUGGGACGGUACUGACGCUGAGACGCGAAAGCGUGGGGAGCGAACAGG
rnacentral:rRNA from 1 species